UACAGAGGGUGCGAGCGUUAAUCGGAAUUACUGGGCGUAAAGCGUGCGUAGACGGUUAUUUAAGUCGGAUGUGAAAGCCCCGGGCUCAACCUGGGAAUUGCAUUCGAGACUGAAUAGCUAGGGUGCGGUAGAGGGAAGCGGAAUUUCCGGUGUAGCGGUGAAAUGCGUAGAUAUCGGAAGGAACAUCAGUGGCGAAGGCGGCACUCUGGGCCGGAACUGACGCUGAGGAGCGAAAGCGUGGGGAGCGAACAGG
rnacentral:rRNA from 1 species